rnacentral:rRNA from 1 species
CCUACGGGAGGCUGCAGUGAGGAAUAUUGGUCAAUGGGCGCUAGCCUGAACCAGCCAAGUAGCGUGAAGGAUGACUGCCCUAUGGGUUGUAAACUUCUUUUAUAUGGGAAUAAAGUGCAGUAUGUAUACUGCUUUGCAUGUACCUUAAGAAUAAGGAUCGGCUAAUUCUGUGCCAGCAGCCGCGGUAAUACGGAGGUUCCGAGCGUUAGCCGGAUUUAGUGGGUUUAAAGGGAGCGUAGGCGGGUUGUUAAGUCAGUUGUGAAAGUUCGCGGCUCAACGGUAAAAUUGCAGUUGAUACUGGCAUGCUAGAGUGCAGUAGAGGUAGGCGGAAUUCGUGGUGUAGCGGUGAAAUGCGUAGAUAUCACGAAGAACUCCGAUUGCGAAGGCAGCCUGCUGGACUGUAACUGACGCUGAUGCUCGAAAGUGUGGGUAUCAAACAGGAUUAGAUACCCGUGUAGUC